rnacentral:tRNA from 1 species
AAAGGGAGACCUAAUUCAGGUAAGAGACGAAAAAAAAGUAGUCGCUACCAAGAAUCAAUCCCAAAAGGUCGGAGCGAGGCGAAAUUGGCUUUCAAACUAGGUUCUGGGUUCAAACAAGACCUGAAUCAGGAACAGGGCUAUUAGCUCAGGUGGUUAGAGCGCACCCCUGAUAAGGGUGAGGUCCCUGGUUCGAGUCCAGGAUGGCCCACCUGCACAGGUGGCAAAAACAAGAGAAGCGAGGAAUCAGCACCUUAUCUUACUGACAUAGUAAGAGAGAAUGCUGGCUCUGAGUAAAGAGUCCAGAGGAACCUUGAAAACUGCAUAGAGCUAGGUGAAAAAGCCAAAAAAGAAGACCGCAAG